GAUGAACGCUGGCGGCGUGCCUAAUACAUGCAAGUCGAGCGAACGGACGAGAAGCUUGCUUCUCUGAUGUUAGCGGCGGACGGGUGAGUAACACGUGGAUAACCUACCUAUAAGACUGGGAAAACUUCGGGAAACCGGAGCUAAUACCGGAUAAUAUUUUGAACCGCAUGGUUCAAAAGUGAAAGACGGUCUUGCUGUCACUUAUAGAUGGAUCCGCGCUGCAUUAGCUAGUUGGUAAGGUAACGGCUUACCAAGGCAACGAUGCAUAGCCGACCUGAGAGGGUGAUCGGCCACACUGGAACUGAGACACGGUCCAGACUCCUACGGGAGGCAGCAGUAGGGAAUCUUCCGCAAUGGGCGAAAGCCUGACGGAGCAACGCCGCGUGAGUGAUGAAGGUCUUCGGAUCGUAAAACUCUGUUAUUAGGGAAGAACAUAUGUGUAAGUAACUGUGCACAUCUUGACGGUACCUAAUCAGAAAGCCCCGGCUAACUACGUG
rnacentral:rRNA from 1 species